UUUGACGCCCGUGAAAAUUCAGCCCAGCCUGCAACUUGGAUUGAAAGAUGUCAUAAUUUAGUUUGUAUGUACUGACAUCAAAUAUGAUGGAUUAUGAAUUUAAAGUAAAAACCCAGAAAGAUCGUACGAAAGUUGAAGAUUUGUUCGAAUUUGAAGGCUGCAAGGUUGGAAGGGGAACGUACGGUCAUGUAUAUAAGGCGAGGAGAAAAGAAGGAGUUCCUGACAGCGAGUUAAAAUCACGUCCUGAUACUAAAGAUUUUGGUCUCAAACAAAUCGAAGGGACUGGGCUUUCUAUGUCAGCAUGUCGCGAGAUAGCACUCCUUAGAGAAUUGAAACAUACAAACGUCAUAACAUUGAUACGUGUCUUUCUAUCACACAAUGAUCGGAAGGUUUGGCUGCUUUUUGAUUUUGCAGAGCAUGAUCUAUGGCAUAUCAUAAAAUUUCAUAGAGCAGCCAAAGCGAAUAAAAAACCUGUUAUGGUACCGAAGGGUAUGGUGAAGUCGCUUUUAUAUCAGAUAUUAGAUGGAAUUCAUUAUUUACAUUCAAACUGGGUUCUUCACAGAGAUCUAAAACCUGCCAAUAUACUAGUGAUGGGAGAAGGUGUGGAAAGAGGGCGAGUAAAGAUAGCUGACAUGGGAUUCGCACGUUUGUUCAAUGCUCCCCUUAAACCCUUAGCAGAUUUGGAUCCUGUGGUCGUUACGUUUUGGUACAGAGCUCCGGAGCUGCUGCUGGGUGCAAGGCAUUAUACAAAAGCAAUUGAUAUCUGGGCAAUUGGAUGUAUAUUUGCGGAAUUACUGACAUCAGAGCCCAUAUUUCACUGCAGACAAGAAGAUAUCAAGACAAGUAAUCCAUAUCAUCACGAUCAGCUCGAUAGAAUAUUCAAUGUAAUGGGAUUUCCAUUGGAAAAAGAUUGGGAAGAUAUAAAAAGAAUGCCAGAGCAUCCUACACUCCUCAAAGACUUCAAGCGAUCAAAUUAUGCCAAUUGUUCCUUAACUAAAUACAUGGAUCGCCAUAAGAUUAAACCGGACAGCAAGGCUUUCAAUUUGCUGCAGAAACUACUGAUGAUGGAUCCUAACAAAAGGAUAACGUCAGAACAUUCCAUGCAGGAUGCCUAUUUUCAGGAAGAACCUUUGCCGACGCAAGAUAUUUUUGCUGGCUGCCCCAUCCCGUAUCCAAAAAGAGAGUUUUUGACUGAUGAUGAUACUGAAGAAAAAAGUGAAAACAAAGCAAGACAAAAUCAGCAGCAAACAGUGUCAGCUAAAUGUUAAAAAUGUGGGCAACUGUUUACUGCGAACAUCAUGAGAUUACAUUGACUGUAUGUACAAGAAUCAGUGUGUCAACACAACACAGGGAGGUACGUGCCAAGUUUAUGGAAAUUCCGCGUGCA
rnacentral:misc_RNA from 1 species